rnacentral:lncRNA from 1 species
CUCCCUGUCUCUCUCUAUCUCUCUGAUUUUAUUUUUUCUCAAUUUUUAUUAACUAAUUAUUUCUAUAUAAUUUAUAUGUACACAGAUGAAUUUUUCUAUUUUUGCUGUUAUUCUCUCUCCUCUUUCCCACAAAUUUCUCCCCACGGAUAUCUUCAGAGCCAGUAGUAAUAAUUACAAUAUUAACUAUUAUGGGCUUCUCCUAUUUGGCCAUGAAAUUAAUCAAAAAUCACCUCGUUUUCAUCACCCAAUUCGGUUUUUUCCUCUCCUUUUGAGUUCUUUUCUUCGUUUCUUUUUAUAUACCCAUUUUAUUCAAAUGCCAGCAACGGAUUAUGAAGAUUGUUUUAUGGUCAGAGAAUGAAUUACAUAAAUGAAUUGAAUGAUUGAUUCAGUGAAAUGUUGUUACUUUUAUCGAGGACACGGGAAGAGUUGGAGCAAAUUAUUUUGUGAAUU